UUGCAGUUAAUUAAGCUGAUCAGGUUCCUUUCCCAGGGGGCCUGGUUUGCAAUGGUUAUAAACAACAGCUUCACUGUAGUGCAUUCAACCUGUUGCCUAUAUGGGUUGCCCUAAGAGACCUUGGAGACAAUU
rnacentral:snoRNA from 1 species